UACGUAGGGUGCGAGCGUUGUCCGGAAUUACUGGGCGUAAAGAGCUCGUAGGCGGCUUGUCGCGUUGUUCGUGAAAAUUUACCGCUCAACGGUGAACUUGCGGGCGAUACGGGCAGGCUAGAGUACUGCAGGGGAGACUGGAAUUCCUGGUGUAGCGGUGAAAUGCGCAGAUAUCAGGAGGAACACCGGUGGCGAAGGCGGGUCUCUGGGCAGUAACUGACGCUGAGGAG
rnacentral:rRNA from 1 species